AAAGAUGGAGAAGGAGGAAACACCAGGAAAGGCUAAUACUCACUGAGCUGACAUUUUAUUUUCCCAGAUCGUGAAUGCUGAAAGAUUGACAGCUCUGGGAAGAGCGCCAUCUCUCAAGUGUGCAUUUUACAAGGAGCAGUGAAUUGAGAUUUCCCUGCUAUGAGGCCUCUGCUGAGGUGACGUGCCCAGCACUCAGCGCAGGAGGGAAAAAUAUCCUGUUCAUUUUGUGAUUUUGUUGAAGUAUUUCUACUCUUUGGGUUUGGAAGUCCAAUAGUCCAGCACCCAGUCUCGGGCAAAUGACAUUAAACUGCACCACUGCAAAGAGAUCUCUGGCAUAAAUAAAUGUAUCAGGAGGUCAAGAGGUCAAGAGCAUAAAUGAGGCAAAGAUUUCAAAGAAAUCACCGACCAAAUGAUUUAUAAAUCAUGGAAAACACUGCUCUGGCCAUAAAAGAGAAAUUAAAUUUAUACAUCAUGAGCUUCAGGAUGCUUUGGGUUCUGGUGGGUAACUGGGUUAGAAAUGGAAGAGCUUAUGUCAUCCUGUUGUUGGUUCGGAGCCUUGUUAUAGCGGCAUUUACCCCGGGACUCUAAAU
rnacentral:lncRNA from 1 species